rnacentral:rRNA from 1 species
CCCCUAGUAACUGCGAGUGAAGCGGGAAAAGCUCAAAUUUAAAAUCUGGCAGUCUUUGGCUGUCCGAGUUGUAAUCUAGAGAAGUGUUAUCCGCGCUGGACCGUGUACAAGUCUCCUGGAAUGGAGCGUCAUAGAGGGUGAGAAUCCCGUCUUUGACACGGACUACCAGGGCUUUGUGAUAUGCUCUCAAAGAGUCGAGUUGUUUGGGAAUGCAGCUCAAAAUGGGUGGUAAAUUCCAUCUAAAGCUAAAUAUUGGCGAGAGACCGAUAGCGAACAAGUACCGUGAGGGAAAGAUGAAAAGAACUUUGGAAAGAGAGUUAAACAGUACGUGAAAUUGCUGAAAGGGAAACGCUUGAAGUCAGUCGCGUUGUCCAGGGAUCAACCUUGCUUUUGCUUGGUGCAUUUCCUGGUUGACGGGUCAGCAUCAAUUUUGACUAUUGGAAAAAGAUUAAGGGAAUGUGGCAUCUUUGGAUGUGUUAUAGCCCUUAGUUGCAUACAAUAGUUGGGAUUGAGGAACUCAGCACGCCGCAAGGCCAGGUUUUUAACCAUGUACGUGCUUAGGAUGCUGGCAUAAUGGCUUUAAUCGACCCGUCUUGAAACACGGACCAAGGAGUCUAACAUGCCUGCGAGUGUUUGGGUGGAAAACCCGAGCGCGCAAUGAAAGUGAAAGUUGAGAUCCCUGUCGUGGGGAGCAUCGACGCCCAGACCAGACCUUUUGUGACGGUUCUGCGGUAGAGCAUGUAUGUUGGGACCCGAAAGAUGGUGAACUAUGCCUGAAUAGGGUGAAGCCAGAGGAAACUCUGGUGGAGGCUCGUAGCGAUUCUGACGUGCA